rnacentral:rRNA from 1 species
GACAGUUCGGUCCCUAUCCGUCGCAGGCGUAGGAAAUUUGAGAAGACCUGUCCUUAGUACGAGAGGACCGGGAUGGACGUACCUCUGGUGUACCAGUUGUCCUGCCAAGGGCAUGGCUGGGUAGCUAUGUACGGAAUGGAUAAGCGCUGAAAGCAUCUAAGCGCGAAGCCAACUUCAAGAUAAGAUUUCCCACCGCAAGGGUAAGACCCCAGAAAGACUA